CGGACGAACGCUGGCGGCGUGCUUAACACAUGCAAGUCGAACGGGAGUAUUGAAGAAGCUUGCUUUAGAGAUACUUUAGUGGCGGACGGGUGAGUAACGCGUGAGGAGCUGUCCUAUGCAGGGGGACAACAGCUGGAAACGGCUGCUAAUACCCCAUAAGCCGAGAGGUAAAAGGAUCAAUCCGGCAGAGGAGGUACUCGCGUCCUAUCAGCUAGUAGGUGAGGUAACGGCUCACCUAGGCGAAGACGGGUAGCCGGCCUGAGAGGGCGAACGGCCACACUGGAACUGAGAUACGGUCCAGACUCCUACGGGAGGCAGCAGUGGGGAAUAUUGGGCAAUGGGGGAAACCCUGACCCAGCGACGCCGCGUGGGUGAAGAAGGCCUUCGGGUCGUAAAGCUCUGUUCUUGAGGACGAAUAAGCCAGGGAGUGGAAAGCCCUGGUGAUGACUGUACUCAAGGAGAAAGCUCCGGCUAACUACGUG
rnacentral:rRNA from 1 species